rnacentral:tRNA from 2 species
GCCUGGUUAGCUCAAUCGGUAGAGCGUUUGACUCUUAAUCAAAAGGUUGCGGGUUCGACCCCCGCAUCGGGCU